rnacentral:rRNA from 1 species
ACGAACGCUGGCGGCAUGCCUAACACCUGCAAGUCGAACGAGACCUUCGGGUCUAGUGGCGCACGGGUGCGUAACGCGUGGGAACCUGCCCUUAGGUUCGGAAUAACUUCCCGAAAGGGGUGCUAAUACCGGAUAAUGUCUUCGGACCAAAGAUUUAUCGCCUUUGGAUGGGCCCGCGUUGGAUUAGCUAGUUGGUAGGGUAAAAGCCUACCAAGGCGACGAUCCAUAGCUGGUCUGAGAGGAUGAUCAGCCACACUGGGACUGAGACACGGCCCAGACUCCUACGGGAGGCAGCAGUGGGGAAUAUUGGACAAUGGGCGAAAGCCUGAUCCAGCAAUGCCGCGUGAGUGAUGAAGGCCUUAGGGUUGUAAAGCUCUUUUACCCGGGAUGAUAAUGACAGUACCGGGAGAAUAAGCUCCGGCUAACUCCGUG